GCCAGCCCAUAUGCGCGGGCAUCUCCGCCCCCACUCUCCUAAAGCGGGUGCCGCAGGUUCGAAUCCUGCCGGGGGCA
rnacentral:tRNA from 1 species